rnacentral:rRNA from 1 species
AUGGCGACGCAGGAAGAACCAGGCAGAACCCGCCGGGGCAGGGAGCCUGUGGAAGAACUUCUGAGUCGUUUGGAGCUUCAGGAAGAUGAGGAGGAACAAUUUUUCUGGGAAGAUGAAUUUAAGGAGGAAAAUAUAGAGGCCAAGUGGCUUGCGAUCGCGAAGGUGCAUACCAAUAAGGGGUUCAGCCCGUCUGCUCUAUAUGCUGAUAUGAGAUCGGCCUGGAAUCCAGCCAGAGAGGUCCGUUGGCGCAGGGUUGAUGACAACCUGUUCACUGUAUAGUUCGGUUGCUUGGGGGACUAG